rnacentral:rRNA from 1 species
UACGUAGGUGGCGAGCGUUGUCCGGAUUUACUGGGCGUAAAGGGCGUGCAGGCGGUUUGUUAAGUGCAGGGUGAAAGCUCCCGGCUCAACUGGGAGAGGUCCUUGCAUACUGGCGAACUCGAGGGAGGCAGAGGAAAGUGGAGUUCCCGGUGUAGUGGUGAUAUGCGUAGAUAUCGGGAGGAACACCUGUGGCGAAGGCGGCUUUCUGGGCCUUACCUGACGCUGAGACGCGAAAGCGUGGGGAGCGAACCGG